UCACACUUACUCCACCUUUUCCAACGUUCACAGCCGUGCCCCCAGGCUUCUCUUUUCCUGUAUUGACGUUUGCACUGCCACCCCCUACGUUGAAAGAGAUUACCAGCCUGCUUCCCUGAUUGCAUGAUUGUGUGAUCUGUUAAGAGUAUUAAGCCAAUCCUAUAGGGAAAAGAAAGAUGCGAUCUUCCUAAGUCCUCACUUCCCUGAACCUCUCAAGCCUUCGGCAUUGGAGUAUUUGGCAGCACAUAGUUCCAACAGUGCCCAGGUGAUAAAACAGCAUGGCUUGCCACCACCGCUAGCUGCGAC
rnacentral:sRNA from 1 species